rnacentral:rRNA from 1 species
AGAGACAGCAGUCGCCGCGGUAAUACGGAGGGUGCAAGCGUUAAUCGGAAUUACUGGGCGUAAAGCGCACGCAGGCGGUCUGACAAGUCAGAUGUGAAAUCCCCGGGCUUAACCUGGGAACUGCAUUUGAAACUGUCAGGCUGGAGUCUUGUAGAGGGGGGUGGAAUUCCAGGUGUAGCGGUGAAAUGCGUAGAGAUCUGGAGGAAUACCGGUGGCGAAGGCGGCCCCCUGGACAAAGACUGACGCUCAGGUGCGAAAGCGUGGGGAGCAAACAGGAUUAGAUACCCCGGUAGUCCCUGUCUCUUAUAA